UACAAAGGGUGCGAGCGUUAAUCGGAAUUACUGGGCGUAAAGCGCGCGUAGGCGGCUUUGCAAGCCGGAUGUGAAAUCCCCGGGCUUAACCUGGGAACUGCAUUCGGGACUGCAUUGCUAGAGUAUGGGAGAGGGAAGUGGAAUUUCAGGUGUAGCGGUGAAAUGCGUAGAUAUCUGAAGGAACAUCAGUGGCGAAAGCGACUUCCUGGACCAAUACUGACGCUCAUGUGCGAAAGCGUGGGGAGCAAACAGG
rnacentral:rRNA from 1 species